rnacentral:rRNA from 1 species
UACGUAGGCAGCAAGCGUUGUUCGGAAUUACUGGGCGUAAAGAGUGUGUAGGCGGUGUUCUAAGUUUGUCGUGAAAUCUCCCGGCUUAACUGGGAGGGUGCGGCGAAAACUGGAAUGCUAGAGGAUGGGAGAGGUAAGCGGAAUUCCUGGUGUAGCGGUGAAAUGCGUAGAUAUCAGGAGGAACACCGGUGGCGAAGGCGGGUCUCUGGGCCGUAACUGACGCUGAGGAGCGAAAGCAUGGGGAGCGAACAGG